AUCGCUAUCCGGUGCAUCCCUACUCCGGUCGGGCUGACCCCUGCGAGUAUCUCAAAUGUAGAUACCUCGGGCGCGUAAUUUUUGGGAGUCGGGACUGCGUUCGCGCUGUCCCGG
rnacentral:snRNA from 1 species